CCAAGUCCAAGUCAAGUCUCAAGUCUUCGAGGUCCAAGUCAAGUAUGAAGUCUUUAAGGUCCAAGUCCAAGUCAAGUCUCAAGUCUUUGAGGUCCAAGUCAAGUCUCAAGUCUUUGAGGUCCAAGUCAAGUCUGAAGUCUUUAAGGUCCAAGUCCAAGUCAAGUCUCAAGUCUUUGAGGUCCAAGUCAAGUCUGAAGUCUUUAAGGUCCAAGUCCAAGUCAAGUCUCAAGUCUUUGAGGUCCAAGUCAAGUCUGAAGUCUUUAAGGUCCAAGUCCAAGUCAAGUCUCAAGUCUUAGAGGUCCAAGUCCAAGUCAAGUCUCAAGUCUCUGAGGUUCUAUUUUUAUCAGUACUUUCACUUUACCUUCCAUUGUGAGACCUGUGGAAGGCUAAAAGGUGUGGCACUCAAAAAUAACGGUCGCUCUGAACUCAAAUUUUUAUUGGAAAUUCAGUUUGAAGCAAUCUUACAGCAUGACCAGCUGGAUUACUCUCCCUUCAAAGUGCCCUUCGGGGUAGGGUGACCAGAUGCAAACGGACCAAAU
ensembl:lncRNA